rnacentral:rRNA from 1 species
AUUGAACGCUGGCGGCAGGCCUAACACAUGCAAGUCGAGCGGAUGAAGGGAGCUUGCGCAUGGAUUCAGCGGCGGACGGGUGAGUAAUGCCUAGGAAUCUGACUGGUAGUGGGGGAUAACGUCCGGAAACGGGAGCUAAUACCGCAUACGUCCUGAGGGAGAAAGUGGGGGAUCUUCGGACAUCACGCUAUCAGAUGAGCCUAGGUCGGAUUUGCCAGUUGGUGGGGUAAAGGCCUACCAAGGCGACGAUCCGUAACUGGUCUGAGAGGAUGAUCAGUCACACUGGAACUGAGACACGGUCCAGACUCCUACGGGAGGCAGCAGUGGGGAAUAUUGGACAAUGGGCGAAAGCCUGAUCCAGCCAUGCCGCGUGUGUGAAGAAGGUCUUCGGAUUGUAAAGCACUGUUAGUUGGGAGGAAGGGCAGUAAGUUAAUACCUUGCUGUUUUGACGUUACCAACAGAAUAAGCACCGGCUAACUUCGUG